UACAGAGGUCUCAAGCGUUGUUCGGAUUCAUUGGGCGUAAAGGGUGCGUAGGCGGCGCGGUAAGUCGGGUGUGAAAUCUCGGAGCUUAACUCCGAAACUGCAUUCGAUACUGCCGUGCUUGAGGACUGGAGAGGAGACUGGAAUUUACGGUGUAGCGGUGAAAUGCGUAGAUAUCGUAAGGAAGACCAGUGGCGAAGGCGGCCUACUGGGCUGCACUGACGCUGAGCCGCGAAAGCCAGGGGAGCGAACGGG
rnacentral:rRNA from 1 species